rnacentral:rRNA from 1 species
AUACGGAGGAUGCGAGCGUUAUCCGGAUUUAUUAGGUUUAAAGGGCGUGUAGGCGGUAUUUUAAGUCAGUGGUGAAAUCUUUCAGCUUAACUGAGAAACUGCCAUUGAUACUGGAAUACUUGAGUAUAGUUGAGGUAGGCGGAAUAUGUAAUGUAGCGGUGAAAUGCAUAGAUAUUACAUAGAACACCGAUUGCGAAGGCAGCUUACUAAACUAUUACUGACGCUGAUGCACGAAAGCGUGGGGAGCGAACAGGAUUAGAUACCCUAGUAGUCC